rnacentral:rRNA from 1 species
GAUGAACGCUGGCGGCGUGCCUAAUACAUGCAAGUCGAGCGAACAGACGAGGAGCUUGCUCCUCUGACGUUAGCGGCGGACGGGUGAGUAACACGUGGAUAACCUACCUAUAAGACUGGGAUAACUUCGGGAAACCGGAGCUAAUACCGGAUAAUAUAUUGAACCGCAUGGUUCAAUAGUGAAAGACGGAUUUGCUGUCACUUAUAGAUGGAUCCGCGCCGCAUUAGCUAGUUGGUAAGGUAACGGCUUAACAAGGCAACGAUGCGUAGCCGACCUGAGAGGGUGAUCAGCCACACUGGAACUGAGACACGGUCCAGACUCCUACGGGAGGCAGCAGUAGGGAAUCUUCCGCAAUGGGCGAAAGCCUGACGGAGCAACGCCGCUGGAGUGAUGAAGGUCUUCGGAUCGUAAAACUCUGUUAUUAGGGAAGAACAAAUGUGUAAGUAACUAUGCACGUCUUGACGGUACCUAAACAGAAAGCCACGGCUAACUACGUG